rnacentral:rRNA from 1 species
CCUACGGGGGGCAGCAAUGAGGAAUAUUGGUCAAUGGACGGAAGUCUGAACGAGCCAUGCCGCGUGCAGGAAGAAGGCUCUAUGAGUGGUAAACUGCGUUUGAACAAGGGUAAACCUGAAUAAGUGAAUUAAGCUGAAAGUACUGUACGAAUCAGGAUAGGCUAACUCCGUGACAGCAGCCGCGGUAAUACGGAGGAUACAAGCGUUAUGCGGAAUUAUUGGGUUUAAAGGGUGAGUAGGCGGAUUGAUAAGUUAGAGGUGAAAUGUCCGAGCUUAACUCGGGAACUGCCUCUAAUACUGUUGAUCUAGAGAGUAGAUGCGGUAGGCGGAAUGUAUUGUGUAGCGGUGAAAUGCUUAGAGAUCAUACAGAACACCGAUUGCGAAGGCAGCUUACCAAUCUAUAUCUGACGUUGAGGCACGAAAGCGUGGGGAGCAAACAGGAUUAAAUACCCCUGUAGUC